rnacentral:lncRNA from 1 species
UUGCCUCUUAUACGUAAUACUCUAUCGAUUUGUUGUUACAAAAUAUAUAAUACACAUGAUUUUUUAACCAUAUUGAAUUGAUAUAUUCUUCGUGUAUCUUUUUCAUAAAAAAUAAUUAUAUACAUAAAAUAGAAUAUUUAUUUUUCAUUAAGCUGUAAAUUUGUUAAAAUCUAAAUAAAAUAUUGUUUGCUCUCAACAUGUCAAAAUUACACAAUACAGUGAUGAAAUACA